rnacentral:rRNA from 1 species
GACGAACGCUGGCGGCGUGCUUAACACAUGCAAGUCGAACGGAAAGGCCCUGCUUUUGUGGGGUGCUCGAGUGGCGAACGGGUGAGUAACACGUGAGUAACCUGCCCUUGACUUUGGGAUAACUUCAGGAAACUGGGGCUAAUACCGGAUAGGAGCUCCUGCUGCAUGGUGGGGGUUGGAAAGUUUCGGCGGUUGGGGAUGGACUCGAGGCUUAUCAGCUUGUUGGUGGGGUAGUGGCUUACCAAGGCUUUGACGGGUAGCCGGCCUGAGAGGGUGACCGGCCACAUUGGGACUGAGAGACGGCCCAGACUGCUACGGGAGGCAGCAGUGGGGAAUAUGGCACAAUGGGCGGAAGCCUGAUGUAGCAACGCCGCGUGCGGGAUGACGGCCUUCGAGUUGUAAACCGCUGUCGCCUGUGACGAAGCGUGAGUGACGGUAAUGGGUAAAGAAGCACCGGCUAACUACGUG